rnacentral:misc_RNA from 1 species
CCAAUAGCGUAUAUUAAAGUUGUUGCCGUUAAAAAGCUCGUAGUUGAAUUUCGGGGUUAGUAAGUUGGUUGUGCCACUGGUAUGUACUGGCUUUACUGAUUCCUCCUUCUUGUAGAACCGUAAUGCCAUUAAGUUGGUGUUGCGGGGAAACAGGACUGUUACUUUGAAAAAAUUAGAGUGUUUAAAGCAAGCUAACGCUUGAAUACAUUAGCAUGGAAUAAUGAAAUAGGACGUUCGAUCCUAUUUUGUUGGUUUCUAGGAUUGACGUAAUGAUUAAUAGGGAUAGUUGGGGACAUUAGUAUUCAAUUGUCAGAGGUGAAAUUCUUGGAUUUAUUGAUGACUAACUACUGCGAAAGCAUUUGCCAAGGAUGUUUUCAUUAAUCAAGAACGAAAGUUAGGGGAUCGAAGACGAUCAGAUACCGUCGUAGUCUUAACCAUAAACUAUGCCGACUAGGGAUCGGAUGAUGUUAAUUUUAUAAUGACUCAUUCGGCGCCUUACGG